UACGUAGGGUGCAAGCGUUAAUCGGAAUUACUGGGCGUAAAGCGUGCGCAGGCGGUUUUGUAAGUCAGACGUGAAAUCCCCAGGCUUAACUUGGGAACUGCGUCUGAUACUGGGAGGCUUGAGUGCGGGAGAGGGAUGUGGAAUUCCAGGUGUAGCGGUGAAAUGCGUAGAUAUCUGGAGGAACACCGGUGGCGAAGGCGGCAUCCUGGACCGACACUGACGCUGAGGCGCGAAAGCUAGGGGAGCAAACGGG
rnacentral:rRNA from 1 species